CGGGGAGAGAUGAGGAGAGAGGACUCAAAUGGAGAGAGUUGGUAGACGGCCGGACGGAGUGGGCUUGGAGUGAGGGUCUGAAGGUAAAAAGAGGAGAAACACUGUUAAGACCCAGAUACACAACGGAAGCCUUAGAUUCUAAAUUUGGCACUGAAGAGGAUGUGUCCUGGAUCCAACACCAUUACAAAGAAAGCACAGCAGUGCCUCUACUUUCUGAAAAGUUUGCGAAGAUUCGACAUGUCAUCUAAAACUGUCAAACGUCUAUAAAUGUGCUGUGGAUAGCAUAUGGCCUGGUAUGGAAAUACAAAUGCCCUUGAAAGGAAAAUCCAAUACAAUGUAGAUCUAUCAUCAAGGAUCCCCACUAUCGAGGCUAUGCUCUCUUCUCACUGUUACCAUCAGGAAGAAGAUACA